GAAAUAAACAUAGUGAAAAAUCACUUUAACAGAAAUUAUUUUUAGUUGUCACCUAGUGAUCCCUACCUUUAGUUUAAGUACUCUCUAUGGAAUAACAUGAAGUUAUUUUUGCCUGAAGGCUAUUUCUUUUAGAUAUAUGAAAAAUACUUGUGAUUUAUAUAAACCAGCUUAUUUCCUUAUGUGAUUUUUACGUAUAGGACUUUCACUAUCAAUUCACUUGACAUCGUCUGGAAGUCAGAUAUAAUUACAAAAAGCUGAAAGCAUUUGUUUACUGCAAUAACUUUCUGAACUGUAGGAGGAAUAUGUGCUCAUGCUAGAAAAUAUUCUUAUAUUUAAUCUUACGAGGAUUAUGCUGCUAAGUGCAUAAUCUAAUGUUAAACAUAUCUUCACUCCUAAAUAGAUCCUCAGUGGAUUCCCACAGUGUGGCACCUAAACAUCAAUAUAUGAGUGAGCUUCAUUUCUCUGAUUGUUAAAGUGAUUUAGGUAGAAAUUAGAUGCUUUACGUUCUGUGUAAUGCAGUGUUCGUAGGUGGAAAAAUGAAAAUAUGCAAAUAGAAGAUAUUUCAAUUCUAGAAGCUUAAGUUUCCACUAGGUCAAUGAAAAUGCAAUACAAGAUCGACUUAACUAGCUGAGACCUUAAACACACAUUAUAUGUAGUCAGUGUGGUCGUCCUGCAUUUUGUUUCUUUGGAGUCACCAACAAGUUCUUCUCUAAUUCUUUCAGGGUUUUAAUGUUGUUUCUUUUUUUCUUUUAUUUUUGUUUUUCUAGCAGUAGGUGAUAGAUUAAGAUGAGUGCUAAUUAUUUUGUGGAGAGCUCCUCCACUGUCUUGCAUAGCACAUAGUGCCUGUUUAAUGACAGUUUGUAUUAUCUGUGUUCUUCAUACCUGGACUAAGGAUGUGAGGGAAGAAGACUCAUUAUAAGAUAGAAUUUAUAUAAGAACAGUAGCUGUUCUUCUAAUUUUAAAAGUUUAAACGGAUGAAAAACUUCACUUUCUGAGGAUAAGUGAAAGGACUUGAAUGUUGAUUUUUUUUUUUUUUUAUGGAAGUAACUGCUCUUGUGGAAGACAAAUGUAUUUGAUUUUUAGUAGAUUCUAGCAGUGUAUAUUUAUUUUAGAUUUAUCUGACACAUUAAAAAGCACCCAUUCAAGGCUGGAAAUGCCUUUGACAUUUAUUGAAAAUCCAGGCUUACUCUAAGCAAUUGUUGUUUCUUUCCAUAAUUAUUCAGCCUAGGACUCAGCAAAGCAUGUAUGUAACUUCAAGUACACAUUUAAAUGCUCUGAUGGAUAGGACAACUAGGCAGUGAGGAAGAAUGAAUUGGAAAGGUCAUAUUCUCUUCUCUGUUUGAGUUAUUCUGGCACAGCAAAGAAACCAGAAAUUGGGCAAAUUUAAGUAUUGGAAGUGGGACCAGCAGAGCCAGAUUUUAUUUCAGAGUCUCUCACAGCAGCAUCACAAAAACAUGAAAAGAUGCUUGGCAGGAACCCGGCAGCCUGCAGCAGAUUCAUUGGCUGUUAAAAGUAUCUGGUGAAAAUGAGAUCAGAGAGAGAAAGGAGAAGUAAAGACCUGAUCUAUGAGAGCUUAGGAUCUGGUUCCGAUCAGGGGACAGCAAGUAAUAUCCUUAUCUUUGCCUCAAACAUAUUUCAGAAAAAUGUGAUGUUACAAUACUUCAGCUUAGGUAAAUGUGCCUCACAAUAUUUUUUUUUUUUUUUUUUUGUAUUUGAUUCAUUAGGAAGAGAUUGUACACACCAGAUGAAGAAUACUUGAGUGCAGUUGUAUCACUUGUUCAGCCUCUGUUUGUGUAGACUUAAUGUUCAUUUAAAACAGAAGUUGGGAAAAAAAACCACUUCCCAGUGAGAUUCUAUGUAAAUCUAGCAUUUUCUCAGUGACCUAGAUAAUUUUUUCCACUAAUUUAUUUCAUUAUUAUUU
rnacentral:lncRNA from 1 species